GCCUACGGGGGGCAGCAGUGGGGGAUAUUGCACAAUGGGGGGAACCCUGAUGCAGCGACGCCGCGUGGGUGAAGAAGCGCCUCGGCGCGUAAAGCCCUGUCAGCAGGGAAGAAAAUGACGGUACCUGAAGAAGAAGCCCCGGCUAACUACGUGCCAGCAGCCGCGGUAAUACGUAGGGGGCAAGCGUUAUCCGGAUUUACUGGGUGUAAAGGGGGCGCAGACGGCGAUGCAAGCCAGGAGUGAAAGCCCGGGACCCAACCCCGGGACUGCUCUUGGAACUGCGUGGCUGGAGUGCAGGAGGGGCG
rnacentral:rRNA from 1 species